CCUACGGGCGGCAGCAGUGGGGAAUAUUGCGCAAUGGGCGAAAGCCUGACGCAGCGACGCCGCGUGCGGGAUGAAGGUCUUCGGAUCGUAAACCUCUGUCUGCAGGGAAGAACGGUCACUGUGCUAAUCAGCAGUGAAUUGACGGUACCUGCAAAGGAAGGACCGGCUAACUCCGUGCCAGCGGCUGCGGUAAUACGGGGGGUGCGUGCGUUAAUCGGAAUUACUGGGCGUAAAGCGCUCGUAGGCGGUAUGUAAAGUAAGGGGUGAAAUCCCCGCGCUCAACGUGGGAACUGCCUUUGAUACUGGCAAACUUGAGUGUGGUAGAGGUUAGUGGAAUGCCAGGUGUAGGAGUGAAAUCCGUAGAGAUC
rnacentral:rRNA from 1 species